UUGGCACGCGUCCAUCAUCGCUGCCGUUUCUGUUUCGGUUCUCUGCUUUUUCUUUCUUUGCUUUCCUUUUCUCUUCUCUCUCUCUCGCCCUCUUCUCAGUGUUUUGCAAGCAUUUCUCCCUUUCUCUUUGUCACCAUGGUCUCCAUCACUCUCAAACCUUCGUUUCUAUCCCUGUCAAAUCUUGGCUCGCUGGAAAAGUCUAAAUCAAUUUAAGCUUCUUCAGCUUUUUGAUUUGGAUUGAAGAUGAUUUUAAGCCAAAAAGGUUACGUUUUCUGGACUCGUUACUCUUCGUUUCUUGGGGCUUUUGUGUGAAGCUUUCGAAGCGCUUUGUGCUCAAGUUAUGGUACGAGACGUGAUAUAAAUCGAACAGGGUGAGAUAAGCCUUCUGCUAACCAAAACGGGUCUAUUCAGUUUUGGUAAUGCUGCAAAUGGACAAAUCACAUCAGAGUGCUCUGCUACCCCUUUGUUAUCUAAUUUCAUGGAUUCAUCUAUGUGCUAUCUUCAUAACUAUUAUGUCUGCUGCCUAUUACUAUGGAGGCUAUGAUGAGACUAGCAACGGCUGGGAUGACUACUUGAGAUAUGUAAAUCCUGAGGGAGUAGAAAUGAUUUUAUAAUGCAGGAGUGGAAGGGAUUGGGAGACAAAUAAGUGUGCAACUGAGGAGGAAGAUGAAGGAAGCAGUAAAAUUCAGUUGGAUCCUAAAUGAACUCUUAAAGAAUAUAUGGUAGGUUGAAAGUUUAGAUAUCAGAAGUUUGGAUGAAUUGAAUCCUCCAGUUUUUUUUAUAUAGUUCAGUAAUAUUUUAGAUAAAUGAAUUAAAAAUAUGGUGUGUAUAAAACCUACGCAAAAUAUUUAUAACACAUAUGGUCCAUUAGUUAACACUUAUAUGCAAUACAUAUAAUCCAUUUGAUA